AUGUUCUAUUAUAUUUUAACUUUUUGUCAAUUAUUUCCCAACUAUAUCUCAGUCUGCUGUGGGCCACACUGGAGAAUGUUGAAGAUCAAUCACAUGAUGCCUCUGUACUGCUCCUUUUGGACUUGUUGGACUUUUAUCCUGUUCCAUGGAGGAUAUAUGAGUUAGUUGUUAUCCUUCAUGUCUGAAGAGAAUCAAAAUGGCAUGACUGAUGAAGUCUUUUGAUUUAUCCAUAAAUUGCAUUUAAGGGAGGUGGAGUUGCACAAAGUUGUAGGUCUCAUUCUCUCUUCCAGCAUCGUUAAAGUUCAGUGGCAAGACAAAAGUCAAGAAAACUGGUGAUGACUUGGUAUACAAGUGGAUUAUCUUGACUUCUUUGAUGUCUAACAAUGUUCUAAUUGCGUCACAAUGCCCAUUUCUGCCACCUCCAUGUCUUUUGGAACAAAUUAUUCUCAUUUGCACCUUCUAGGGGGGAAGUCUUUAUAUACCUGGGAUAGACACCCCUCUCACUCACCAAUGGGUUUGAGAUCUGUCAGAUACCCUCAACCUGGGUUUGACCAUCUAGUGAAAUAGUUUUACUAGGGUGUGACCACUGCUCAUGCUAUAGUUUCUUAGAGUUGAAAGUAUGAGUGGAGUAGCAGGUGGACACUAAAGGAAGAAGGUAGUUCUGAACAGGGCUUGACAAUUCCUCACAGUGAAGGUUCUACUCUUCCGAGAACAUUCUGCACAUCUCAUACAUCUUGUACAAUGAGGAGUCACAAUUGCUCAGAAUGUCAAGGUUUUAAUAUGAUAAUUCAAUUUAACUCAACAUUAAUUAACUGCCUACUGUGUACAAGGUAAUGUAUUAGGCUCCAAGUGAUGAAAGAUGAAAAACUUUGUAGUUCUUGCUCUCAGAUUGUUUACAGCAAAAUGAGGGUACAUAUCAUAUACACAAAUAAAUAGAAUGCAAAGUAGAAUAUAGAAGGGUCC
rnacentral:lncRNA from 1 species